rnacentral:rRNA from 1 species
GGAAAAGAAAUCAAUUGAGAUUCCCUCAGUAGCGGCGAGCGAACGGGGAUCAGCCCAUUAAGUUAUGUGUGUUUUAGUGGAACGCUCUGGGAAGUGCGAACGUAGAGGGUGAUAUUCCCGUACACGAAAGGGCACACAUAAUGAUGACGAGUAGGGCGAGGCACGUGAAACCUUGUCUGAAUAUGGGGGGACCAUCCUCCAAGGCUAAAUACUCCUGACUGACCGAUAGUGAACCAGUACCGUGAGGGAAAGGCGAAAAGAACCCCUGUGAGGGGAGUGAAAUAGAUCCUGAAACCGCAUGCAUACAAGCAGUGGGAGCACCUUCGUGGUGUGACUGCGUACCUUUUGUAUAAUGGGUCAGCGACUUAUAUUCAGUAGCAAGGUUAACCGUAUAGGGGAGCCGUAGAGAAAUCGAGUCUUAAUAGGGCGUUUAGUUGCUGGGUAUAGACCCGAAACCAGGCGAUCUAUCCAUGAGCAGGUUGAAGGUUGGGUAACACUAACUGGAGGACCGAACCCACUGUCGUUGAAAAGCCAGGGGAUGACUUGUGGAUAGGGGUGAAAGGCUAAUCAAGCCUGGUGAUAGCUGGUUCUCCCCGAAAGCUAUUUAGGUAGCGCCUCGGACGAAUACCAUAGGGGGUAGAGCACUGUUUCGGCUAGGGGGUCAUCCCGACUUACCAAACCGAUGCAAACUCCGAAUACCUAUGAGUACUAUCCGGGAGACAGACUGCGGGUGCUAACGUCCGUAGUCAAGAGGAAAACAAUCCAGACCGCCAGCUAAGGCCCCAAAAUCAUAGUUAAGUGGGAAACGAUGUGGGAAGGCAUAGACAGCUAGGAGGUUGGCUUAGAAGCAGCCACCCUUUAAAGAAAGCGUAAUAGCUCACUAGUCGAGUCGGCCUGCGCGGAAGAUGUAACGGGGCUAAAA